UACGUAGGUGGCGAGCGUUAUCCGGAAUGAUUGGGCGUAAAGGGUGCGUAGGCGGCCUGCUAAGUCUGGAGUGAAAGGUACCGGCUCAACCGGUACAGGCUCUGGAAACUGGCGGGCUAGAGAGCAGGAGAGGGCGGUGGAACUCCAUGUGUAGCGGUAAAAUGCGUAGAUAUAUGGAAGAACACCAGUGGCGAAGGCGGCCGCCUGGCCUGUUAACUGACGCUGAGGCACGAAAGCGUGGGGAGCAAAUAGG
rnacentral:rRNA from 1 species